GAUAAGAUGGCCGAGUAGGUAUUAGACUGUAAAUCUAAGCAGAGAGGUACAGCCCCCUUCUUGUCA
rnacentral:tRNA from 1 species